rnacentral:rRNA from 1 species
AUUGAACGCUGGCGGCAGGCCUAACACAUGCAAGUCGAAUGGUAACAGGAAACAGCUUGCUGUUUCGCUGACGAGUGGCGGACGGGUGAGUAAUGUCUGGGAAACUGCCUGAUGGAGGGGGAUAACUACUGGAAACGGUAGCUAAUACCGCAUAACGUCGCAAGACCAAAGAGGGGGACCUUCGGGCCUCUUGCCAUCAGAUGUGCCCAGAUGGGAUUAGCUAGUAGGUGGGGUAACGGCUCACCUAGGCGACGAUCCCUAGCUGGUCUGAGAGGAUGACCAGCCACACUGGAACUGAGACACGGUCCAGACUCCUACGGGAGGCAGCAGUGGGGAAUAUUGCACAAUGGGCGCAAGCCUGAUGCAGCCAUGCCGCGUGUAUGAAGAAGGCCUUCGGGUUGUAAAGUACUUUCAGCGGGGAGGAAGGGAGUAAAGUUAAUACCUUUGCUCUUUGACGUUACCCGCAGAAGAAGCACCGGCUAACUCCGUG